rnacentral:tRNA from 1 species
UAUUUUGGUAGCUUAUAGAGAGCGUGAUAUUGAAGAUAUCAAGGAAGUAUUUAAUUUCAGAAUAU